rnacentral:lncRNA from 12 species
AUGACGUGCUCCAGGUGUUUGCUACUUAUUCUGGUUGUCUACUUCUUGAUGGACGAGCUUUGUGCUUUCCUGAUACCAGACAGACUGCGAGUGAAAAGAAGCAAUCACAGGUCAGAUCAGGAGAUGUCACCACACAUCUAUGAGCUCUCUGAUCUGGCAGACUUGUUCCCAGGAAAUGAAGGGGAAAUGACUCGGGACUGGGAACCCAAUCCCGCCAAGACCCCUGAUUUCUUCCCCCCUAUGGAACACAUCAAUGUGCAACCAGCAAACAGCAACCGCCGCAAAAACAAGGAUAAGAGGAAGAGGCUCACUGUUCCUCUGGACCCCAUUGGCAGCUCCUACUUGUCUUCCAGGAACAGAAAGGAGGAACCUGAAGAUUUUAAGGAAUACGAUGCAAAGUAAUCAAACUAACAGAUGAUGUAUACCAUUAAAAAGGACCGCUUAUGUUGUUUAGUUUUGGUCCUUUUUCACUUGUGUGGUUUCUUUUUUUUUUUAAAUCCAAUUGAUUGAACUUUUAGUUUCUAUUAAGUCAUUGCAUCUCAGGUUUAUAAACUGUGACUUAUUUAUUUGUAUUUAUGUUUUUCCAAUAUUAGCUUACCGGCUCCCUCUAGUGGGGUGCAAACUGACAGACACUGUUCUGGUGUUGCUGCAAAAUAAAAUGUACAUGGAUAAACUAUUCAAUCUUGUCUAAAGUUCUUUCAACUUGUUUUAAAUCACAAAAUACAUGACGCAUCUCAACACAAAAGUUAGAUUAGGAAAAUAAGACAUUCUAACCCCGAUAAAGAAAAGUUUUAUUUCUCCAGGUAGUUAAAGAAAACAAUAUCAGAUGCAAAAAAAUAAAAAUAAAAUAAACCAUUUGCUUUGCUUUUCUCUUCACUUUCAGAUAUGUACACUUCUCAAAAUCUGUGAUAUGUGUGAAACAUGAAGCGAGAGAAGUCUGGCUUUUGGGGAUUUCCAAUCCCCCUUGCUUCACAAAUAAACCACAAAGGAAAAAAACUCAAACAAUAGUCUCCAAACUAUUUCAAAAGAAAGAGCUUGUAGCAUAAAUGUGUCAUCGUCACCAGUUCUCAGAGUUUAAAACCCCCAAACACUUCUUGAAAUCAAUAAUUACAACCAUUUCAUUCGAGGAAAGCUUCAGCAAAGCUCCUAAAACUAGCAUUUACAUCUUUUUAAACUGAAAUCUUCCAAAAAUUGGAACACAUUGAGAAAAAAAAAAAACUAAAAAAAAACUAUGUUGUGCAAGUAAUUAAAGACCAAACAGUAUUGAUAGCUUCUUCGACAAAGUACAUGAGUUAAUAUACUAUAUAUUACCAGUAGAAUUAGAUGUUUGAUAUCAAUAAUUGCAACUAAAUGCAAUCCCUGCUUAAAUGACUCGUAUAGCGCUAUAUAUCUGAAAAUCUAAUACAUGUUAGCUGACUGGUCAAGUCCAUUUGGGUGCGAUUUCUUACAUAAAUAUAAAAUUAAGAGGUUGUAAUCAAAUGGUCUUAUGUCACCUACAGGAAAUUAUUAUGAAUUAUCUAUUAGUCUUCAAACAAUGGAAUCUAUCCCAGUGAAAAAAGAUCAACUGCCCAGUUCACCAAGAAAUAAUGCAUUUUUUAGUAACAGCAGUGUCAACAAUCUCUCAUAGCAGCUUUUUGGCAAAAUCAUGACAACAUUUUUUCUGUAUUUCGUAGGUCUUUUUUUUUUUUACACUUUUAAAUAGACUCUCUCCAAAGUAACCAGUAUAGUAUACAUCUGUGAAAAUGUAGUGUGGCUUCUCCAACUUCUCCAAAAGAAAAUUGUGCCACUUAUUAAAUAUGUAAGCUGCUUACUUUAAACAAAUUACAAUUUUGUGUGACAAAGAAUAGUGUACAUAUCUGUGGAAUAGUUACAAAUGAGCCAAGAUCAAUUACCAACUCAGGAGGUAAGUGAUCGAUUCAAACAUUAUUUCUCAGUGAACUCUGCAAUGGAGACUAUUGACUGUUAAGCAUGUAAGGAGUAACUGGUCGCCAAAACUAGAACUGCAAAGAAAGAGAGGAACAAAAUGGAUUUUGAAACUAAAAAUUGUUUUGGAUACAAAAACUGGAGAACUGGGAACAUUCAGCGCAUUG